rnacentral:rRNA from 1 species
CGACGGGUGAGUAACACGUGAGCAAUCUGCCCCUGACUCUGGGAUAAGCGCUGGAAACGGCGUCUAAUACUGGAUACGAACCGUGGAGGCAUCUUCAACGGUUGGAAAGAUUUUUUGGUCAGGGAUGAGCUCGCGGCCUAUCAGCUUGUUGGUGAGGUAAUGGCUCACCAAGGCGUCGACGGGUAGCCGGCCUGAGAGGGUGACCGGCCACACUGGGACUGAGACACGGCCCAGACUCCUACGGGAGGCAGCAGUGGGGAAUAUUGCACAAUGGGCGAAAGCCUGAUGCAGCAACGCCGCGUGAGGGAUGACGGCCUUCGGGUUGUAAACCUCUUUUAGCAGGGAAGAAGCGUGAGUGACGGUACCUGCAGAAAAAGCGCCGGCUAACUACGUGCCAGCAGCCGCGGUAAUACGUAGGGCGCAAGCGUUAUCCGGAAUUAUUGGGCGUAAAGAGCUCGUAGGCGGUUUGUCGCGUCUGCUGUGAAAUCCCGAGGCUCAACCUCGGGUCUGCAGUGGGUACGGGCAGACUAGAGUGCGGUAGGGGAGAUUGGAAUUCCUGGUGUAGCGGUGGAAUGCGCAGAUAUCAGGAGGAACACCGAUGGCGAAGGCAGAUCUCUGG